AGCACUCCUACGGGAGGCAGCAGUGGGGAAUAUUGCACAAUGGGCGCAAGCCUGAUGCAGCCAUGCCGCGUGUAUGAAGAAGGCCUUCGGGUUGUAAAGUACUUUCAGCAGUGAGGAAGGUGGGUAUGUUAAUAGCAUACUCAUUUGACGUUAGCUGCAGAAGAAGCACCGGCUAACUCCGUGCCAGCAGCCGCGGUAAUACGGAGGGUGCGAGCGUUAAUCGGAAUUACUGGGCGUAAAGCGCAUGCAGGUGGUUUGUUAAGUCAGAUGUGAAAGCCCCGGGGCUCAACCUCGGAAUUGCAUUUGAAACUGGCAAACUAGAGUACUGUAGAGGGGGUAGAAUUUCAGGUGUAGCGGUGAAAUGCGUAGAGAUCUGAAGGAAUACCGGUGGCGAAGGCGGCCCCCUGGACAGAUACUGACACUCAGAUGCGAAAGCGUGGGGAGCAAACAGGAUUAGAUACCCUGGUAG
rnacentral:rRNA from 1 species